ACUCAAAGGAAUUGACGGGAACCCGCACAAGCGGUGGAGCAUGUGGUUCAAUUCGACGGUAAGCGAAGAACCUUACCAAGGUUUGACAUGUUAGCGUUCUAUGCGCCCGAAAGGGUGCAAAUCCGCAAGGAGGCUAACACAGGUGCUGCAUGGCUGUCGUCAGCUCGUGUCGUGAGAUGUUGGGUUAAGUCCUCCAACGAGCGCAACCCCUAUGUUGUGUUAACAAGUUCACAACAAACUGCCCCGGUUAACGGGGAGGAAGGUGGGGAUGACGUCAAGUCAGCAUGGCCCUUAUACCUUGGGCUACACACGUGCUACAAUGGGGUGCAACAAUGGGGCGCGAAGUCGCGAGACGGAGCCAAUCCCACCAAACCACCCCCCAGUUCGGAUUGUAGGCUGCAACUCGCCUGCAUGAAGCCGGAAUCGCUAGUAAACGCGCGUCAGCCAUAGUGCGUUGAAUACGUUCUCGGGUUUUGCACACACCGCCCGU
rnacentral:rRNA from 1 species